AUGCUUUCUGUGUUGGAGAUGAAGGGGUUCCCUGAAAAGUUUAUUCAGUGGACUAAGGCAGUUACUUACAAUGGGAAAGUUGCUAUUACUUUGAAUGAUAUGAUAGGCAAAUACUUUACUACUAGGAAAGGACUUAGACAGGGAGAUCCCUUUUCCCCCCUAUUGUUCAAUAUAGCGGCUGAUGUUCUGGUGACCUUGGUGAAAAGGGCGCAGGAGCAAGGUUUUAUUAAAGGUUUAGUUCCCCAGCUGUAUGACGGCGGCCUUUCUAUAUUACAAUAUGCGGAUGAUACUAUUUUUAUGACUGAGGAUGAUUUAGAGGGUGCUAGAAACUUAAAAAUUAUCUUGUGUGUGUUCGAGCAUCUGACUGGUCUAAAAAUUAAUUUUCUGAAGAGCGAGGUUUAUUGUUUUGGUGGUGCUGAACCAAAAUGGAAUGAUUAUGCUCAGAUUUUUACGUGUGCUAUUGGUGAGUUUCCUUUUGGGUAUUUGGGUCUUCCUUUACAUUAUAAGAGGCUUGGUAAUAGGGAUUGGAAAUCUGCAGAGGAGAAGUGUGAAAGGAAAGCAGGUACUUGGCAGGGGAGCUUGCUUCCUAUGGGGAGGAGGCUAAUCCUUGCAGAAACCUGCAUGAGUAACAUUCCCAGUCACAUGCUCUCUUUUUUACCAAAAGGCGUGGGUAAAAGAUUUGACUUUUUCCGAGCUCGGUUGGUCUGGCAAGAAAAGGAGGGUGUGCGUAAAUAUCAUCUGGUAAACUGGAUUGAUGUGUGCCAACCUAGAGAUCAGGGUGGCCUGGGAGUUACUAAUUUAGAUAUAAAGAAUAUAAGUCUUUUGUGCAAGUAG
rnacentral:rRNA from 1 species